CAAAGAGUUCUUCUCUUCUGUUUUUUUUUUUUUGCAGAUCUUCGUUCAUCUCUUCUGAUACUACUAAGAUAAAGUUAGAGAUAGCUCCGUGAGGGAGAAAUGUACUUAAAAAAAAAAAAAACAAUUCCGUUUUGAAAAAUGGACAUCUCUUCCCACCAAUAUCAAUGUUUGGAGGUUUGUUACCUUGGAGCUUACGGAUCGCAACUACUCGUUUUGAUGUAAUCACAACUCCUAACUUCAAACACACACCCUUUUGGUUACAAGAGAUGGUAGAGGCUGAAGAGCCCAAACUAUUACCUCUAUCUUCUCAGAAAUCUCUUCUUGUGAAGAGUAGACAUAUUAUGUUUGAUGAAAAUUUAGAGAGAUGUCAAUUGUAAGAAACAUAGAUAGAUUAAUAACCAAUAUAGUC